rnacentral:rRNA from 1 species
AGAGACAGCAGCCGCCACGGUAAUACGAAGGGUGCAAGCGUUAAUCGGAAUUACUGGGCGUAAAGCGUGCGUAGGCGGUGAGUUAAGUCUGCUGUGAAAUUCCUGGGCUUAACCUGGGGGCUGCAUUUGAGACGUCAAGACUAGAGUGUGAGAGAGGGUUGUGGAAUUCCCAGUGUAGAGGUGAAAUUCGUAGAUAUUGGGAAGAACACCGGUGGCGAAGGCGGCAACCUGGCUCAUUACUGACGCUGAGGCGCGAAAGCGUGGGGAGCAAACAGGAUUAGAUACCCCCGUAGUCCCUGUCUCUUAUAC